UUUCAUUCGCAGGGUCGGUGCCGAGUGCGCGCGGACAGGCUUACAAUGGGCUCAUCACUGCUGAGGUUCAUUGCGUUGGGCUUUGUGCUGCUCUUCAUUGUCUCAGUGGAGCCAAGAGUGGAAGCGGCGGCGGCGGCCACCGCAUCCGUGGAACAGCCACUGUGGGAGGAAAUGCGCAACAUUCCCCAGAAUCAUUGCCUGAGGUAUCGCAAGUUUAAAUUGAUCCGGAGAUGCAGACGCGUGUGGAAGUUGAACCAGUUUAACCUCUACUUUCCCAGUGGCAAGGCGAUUGCUUGAAACCAACUACGGACUAGCUAAAUUUUAACACGAUAAAAUUAAUAAAAAUCAUUCAUUUGAGACUGCAGAGGAUUUUAUUGCCAAUUACUACAGCACAUUGUUUUAUUCAACAGCAGCACCUAAGUGACUUUGGGGACAAUCAACAGACAAGCUUUAGCUUCAAUAAAAUUUCGAGUCACGAUAGAGAUAAAACUCAAUAAAUAAUUUCAAUAGGAAAUUUUUGCAUAAUUUCCAAAA